rnacentral:rRNA from 1 species
AAAGAAACCAACAGGGAUGCCCUAGUAACGGCGAGUGAAGCGGCAACAGCUCAAAUUUGAAAUCUGGCCCUCGGGUCCGAGUUGUAAUUUGUAGAGGAUGCUUUUGGUGAGGUGCCUUCCGAGUUCCCUGGAACGGGACGCCAUAGAGGGUGAGAGCCCCGUCUGGUUGGACACCGAGCCUCUGUAAAGCUCCUUCGACGAGUCGAGUAGUUUGGGAAUGCUGCUCUAAAUGGGAGGUAUAUGUCUUCUAAAGCUAAAUACCGGCCAGAGACCGAUAGCGCACAAGUAGAGUGAUCGAAAGAUGAAAAGCACUUUGAAAAGAGAGUUAAAAAGUACGUGAAAUUGUUGAAAGGGAAGCGCUUAUGACCAGACUUGGGCUUGGUUGAUCAUCCUGGGUUCUCCCUGGUGCACUCUUCCAGUUCAGGCCAGCAUCAGUUCGCUGCGGGGGAUAAAAGCUUUGGGAAUGUGGCUCCCUCGGGAGUGUUAUAGCCCAUUGCAUAAUACCCUGCUCCGGACUGAGGUUCGCGCAUCUGCAAGGAUGCUGGCGUAAUGGUCAUCAGCGACCCGUCUUGAAACACGGACCAAGGAGUCGUCUUCGUAUGCGAGUGUUCGGGUGUUAAACCCCUACGCGUAAUGAAAGUGAACGCAGGUGAGAGCUUCGGCGCAUCAUCGACCGAUCCUGAUGUUCUCGGAUGGAUUUGAGUAAGAGCAUACGGGGCCGGACCCGAAAGAAGGUGAACUAUGCCUGUAUAGGGUGAAGCCAGAGGAAACUCUGGUGGAGGCUCGCAGCGGUUCUGACGUGCAAAUCGAUCGUCAAAUAUGGCAUGGGGCGAAAGACUAAUCGAACCUUCUAGUAGCUGGUUUCCGCCGAAGUUUCCCUCAGGA